UAGGAGUUUUUCUGUUUCGAGUCUUCCUAGAUCUGCAUUAACUAUCACAGGUCGUUCAAGUUCUAAGUCUAGGAAUUCAUAUCUCAGAUUUUUGGGAAGUGUUUUCAAAUCAGGGGUUGGUUUGUUAAGACACUGCGUAGGGUCCGGUGUUAUUGCUAAGCAUUGGUUAGAUUUGUCCUCUAAAAGAUAGUCUGAUGAUUUGUCUUCUCCUGACUCUGCUUCUUUUAUGCAUUCAUCGAUGAUAUCCAUGAAGUAAC
rnacentral:lncRNA from 1 species